GUAAUACACGAGGGGUGCCUUACGGCUGAGAAAGACCCUUUGAACCUGUUAAGUUAAGACUUGCGGAGGGACGUGUACGUGUUUGUAU
rnacentral:ncRNA from 2 species